UAGAGGGUAGCAAUAUUCUCUAGUCGGAGUGGCGCAAGGGUGCGUAACACGUGGGUAAUCUGCCGUGAAGCCUGGGAUAACUCGCUGAAAGGCGAGCUAGUACCGGAUGAGACUGUUGGGAAGCAUUUUCCGACAUUCAAAGCUGGGGACCGCAAGGCCUGGCCCUUCACGAUGAGCCCGCGGCCUAUCAGCUAGUUGGUGAGGUAACGGCUCACCAAGGCUAAGACGGGUAGCUGGUCUGAGAGGACGACCAGCCACACUGGAACUGAGACACGGUCCAGACACCUACGGGUGGCAGCAGUCGAGAAUUUUUCACAAUGGGCGCAAGCCUGAUGGAGCGACGCCGCGUGCGGGAUGAAGGGUUUCGAUCCGUAAACCCCUGUCAUUUGCGAACAAUGGUCUAUUGAUAACACCAGUAGGCUUGAUAGUAGCGGAAGAGGAAGGGACGGCUAACUCUGUGCCAGCAGCCGCGGUAAUACAGAGGUCCCAAGCGUUGUUCGGAUUCACUGGGCGUAAAGGGUGCGUAGGUGGCCGUGGAAGUUUGGUGUGAAAGCUCGGAGCUUAACUCCGAAAAGGCAUUGAAUACUCUACGGCUGGAGGGUCGGAGGGGAGACUGGAAUUCUCGGUGUAGCA
rnacentral:rRNA from 1 species